UCCCCUGUGGCUCAGUUGGUAAAGAAUCUGCCUGCAAUGCAGGAGACCUGGGUUCAAUCCCUGGGUUGGGAA
rnacentral:tRNA from 1 species